GCCUGCCUUACCCGUCCAGCGAGAGCGUGGACGAGAGAACAACACACUGGUAGUAGGAUUCGCUGCAGUAACGCUGGUUGUGGAAUGUAGUGCCAAUCUGAACAAAAGCAAGAGGAUCUACAACUAUCAACAUUCACGGGCCAGACGUGUGAUUGAGAACUCACUUGGUAUGACGGUCGCAAGUUGGAGAAUUCUAGACAGAUCGUCGAAUUCCUACCAGACAAAUGUACACCUGUUGUGAAGGCCUGUGCUGCACUGCACAACUAGCUGGCCUAUACAGAUGCUGCCAACACACCUGCAACAAAGUAUAUACCACCUAAUUUCAAAGACUCUUUUGAACAAUGGCUAGGCACAGCCAGGGAGUGGAGAAGACAGGUCACAGAGGGAGGCGCCUUGGCUGAUGCAGGGAGAGCCUCUUGGGCUGCUGUUGGAGUCCGCAAUGACCUGAUGAGGUUUUUCCAUGUGCCAUGGGAGGAUACGGUGCUGAGGGCAAGCCUGCUGAACUCUGUGAAUUAUGGACAUACACAUUUAAAGAAAAGAACUCUUUAUUUUGUUAAAUAUUUGUAUGUACAAUUGUAAGUGUUAUAAAGUAUUGCUAACAAUGAAAAGAGCAGACUACAUAGAAGUUACUUAAAAUGCAGAGAAAGUGCACUCAAGUAUUUUGUUCAAAAAUGCACUCUCUCUGCAUUUUAAAUCAAAGAAUAAAUAAAAUUAAACAAUAUUGAAUCAGAUAACUCAAAAAGGUCAACAUCCAUGAAGUAUGCAAAUUAUUUUGACUCAAAUCACUUCAAAAAAGAUUACUUUAGCCACAUUGGGGUGUGUAUUCAAAGUGUCUUCAGCACUUUCCCCAUCUCAAAUAAAAACUGAUGGAUUUUGAACUUGGCUCGACCUUUUA
ensembl:lncRNA